GCCCAGACUCCUACGGGAGGCAGCAGUGAGGAAUAUUGGUCAAUGGCCGAGAGGCUGAACCAGCCAAGUCGCGUGAGGGAUGACGGCCCUACGGGUUGUAAACCUCUUUUGCCGGGGGACAAACGGCGGCACGCGUGCCGUCCUGAGGGUACCCGGAGAAAAAGCAUCGGCUAACUCCGUGCCAGCAGCCGCGGUAAUACGGAGGAUGCGAGCGUUAUCCGGAUUUAUUGGGUUUAAAGGGUGCGUAGGCGGAUUUUUAAGUCAGCGGUAAAAUGUCCGGGCUCAACCCGGGCCGGCCGUUGAAACUGGGGAUCUUGAGUGGGCGAGAAGUGCGCGGAAUGCGUGGUGUAGCGGUGAAAUGCAUAGAUAUCACGCAGAACUCCGAUUGCGAAGGCAGCGCACCGGCGCCCUACUGACGCUCAGGCACGAAAGCGUGGGUAUCGAACAGGAUUAGAUACCCCAGUAA
rnacentral:rRNA from 1 species